rnacentral:rRNA from 1 species
CAGCCGCCGCGGGAAUACGUAGGGUGCAAGCGUUAAUCGGAAUUACUGGGCGUAAAGCGUGCGCAGGCGGUGUUGUAAGACUGAUGUGAAAUCCCCGGGCUCAACCUGGGAACUGCAUUGGUGACUGCAACGCUGGAGUGCGGCAGAGGGGGAUGGAAUUCCGCGUGUAGCAGUGAAAUGCGUAGAUAUGCGGAGGAACACCGAUGGCGAAGGCAAUCCCCUGGGCCUGUACUGACGCUCAUGCACGAAAGCGUGGGGAGCAAACAGGAUUAGAUACCCCCGUAGUCCCUGUCUCUUAUAU